CGUAGCUCAACUGGCAGAGCGACGGCCUUCUAAGCCGUAGGUUGGGAGUUCGAGUCUCUCCG
rnacentral:tRNA from 1 species